GUAACACGUGGGCAACCUGCCCUGCAGAUCGGGAUAACUCCGGGAAACCGGUGCUAAUACCGAAUAGUUUUUUGCCCCUCCUGGGGCAGAACGGAAAGACGGUUUCGGCUGUCACUGCAGGAUGGGCCCGCGGCGCAUUAGCUAGUUGGUGGGGUAAUGGCCUACCAAGGCGACGAUGCGUAGCCGACCUGAGAGGGUGAUCGGCCACACUGGGACUGAGACACGGCCCAGACUCCUACGGGAGGCAGCAGUAGGGAAUCUUCCGCAAUGGACGAAAGUCUGACGGAGCAAUGCCGCGUGAGUGACGAAGGUUUUCGGAUCGUAAAACUCUGUUGUAAGGGAAGAACAAGUACCAAGUAACUACUGGUACCUUGACGGUACCUUACCAGAAAGCCACGGCUAACUACGUGCCAGCAGCCGCGGUAAUACGUAGGUGGCAAGCGUUGUCCGGAAUUAUUGGGCGUAAAGCGCGCGCAGGCGGUCCCUUAAGUCUGAUGUGAAAGCCCACGGCUCAACCGUGGAGGGUCAUUGGAAACUGGGGGACUUGAGUGCAGAAGAGGAAAGUGGAAUUCCAUGUGUAGCGGUGAAAUGCGUAGAGAUGUGGAGGAACACCAGUGGCGAAGGCGACUUUCUGGUCUGUAACUGACGCUGAGGCG
rnacentral:rRNA from 1 species